CCUACGGGUGGCAGCAGUGGGGAAUAUUGGACAAUGGGGGGAACCCUGAUCCAGCCAUGCCGCGUGUGUGAAGAAGGCCCUCGGGUUGUAAAGCACUUUCAGUGAGGAAGAACGCCUGGUGGUUAAUACCCAUCAGGAAAGACAUCACUCACAGAAGAAGCACCGGCUAACUCCGUGCCAGCAGCCGCGGUAAUACGGAGGGUGCGAGCGUUAAUCGGAAUUACUGGGCGUAAAGCGCGCGUAGGUGGCUUGAUAAGCCGGUUGUGAAAGCCCCGGGCUCAACCUGGGAACGGCAUCCGGAACUGUCAAGCUAGGGCGCAGGAGAGGAAGGUAGAAUUCCCGGUGUAGCGGUGAAAUGCGUAGAGAUCGGGAGGAAUACCAGUGGCGAAGGCGGCCUUCUGGACUGACACUGACACUGAGGUGCGAAAGCGUGGGUAGCAAACAGGAUUAAUACCCUAGUAGUC
rnacentral:rRNA from 1 species